ACGGGCCCCUGAUAUCGUUUGAUAUAACGUUAAUUAUUUUUUGUUUGUUAAUCUUUGUUGCCAUCAUGGAUUAUGCCUUGUUUUCUUUAAUUUAUGGCUGGAGACUGAAGAAAACACGACAACGUCACCGGAACACAGGAAAUACCUUCUUAUUAACCAAGUUUUUGAUCUAUAUGUCCAUACAUGACCUCUCGUAUAAAGGCCAGUGCUGUGAAGAUACGUUGGAACCAGAUCCAAAGCGUCUGAGAACCAGUGGGAAGUUCUUCACAUCAUAAAUACGCCCCUGGGAAACACUACUUUGAGGAACUGAAACGUGCUUUCGAGGUAACGCGUAAUUUACACACCAAACAUUCCCAGAAGCAGAUGCCUGUCUGACUGACUGGGGCAAAUUGUGGACAUAAUGGCCACAGGCUUGCUCCCCCCCCUGUUUGAAACCGGAAUUUGAACUGCAUAAAUAGGACAAAUCUGCCCGGUUCUCCUCCUGGACCCCAUCUCGGUAAGUUUGGGGGAAGUUUCUGUGAUCAAAAGCAUUGUAAAAUGGUUCCAGGGCAGGAUAUUUCCUCCGUGUGUUUCUCAGGUU